rnacentral:ncRNA from 1 species
GCACAGCUACGUGCUGGCACUCAAUUAGUAGCGCUGGCACGUCACUCGGCUCCUCGGCUCACUUCGGUUGCAAAGACUUUCUCCUUAUGCGCAUGUCUCAGCAACACAAAACGAGGGUUUCGCUCGUGUCGUGAGAUGUUUGGUCAAGUCCUAUAACGAGCGAAACCCUCGUUUUGUGUUGCUGAGACAUGCGCAUAAGGAGAAAGUCUUUGCAACCGAAGUGAGCCGAGGAGCCGAGUGACGUGCCAGCGCUACUAAUUGAGUGCCAGCACGUAGCUGUGCUGUCAGUAAGAAAGGAGCCGGCGCCUUUCGAAAGCCCUUUCUAGUGUGCGCUUUAGUUUGAUUGCUGCUAGCGCGCUUUACUAAUAACAUAGAAAGGGCUUUCUUUUCUCGCUUGUUUAGUAAAGUCAAGUUUUUGGCCUUAUCUUGCAGGUGACGACGACGUCGAGUUGGCGGCGGAGAAAGACUCGGCAUUCAGGCGAGCCGCCCGGUGGUGUGGUACGUAGUGGGUUUAGUACGCCCCGCCAAAACAAAACGGCUCCGAAACAAACAAAAAGGUGCGUGCCGCACUCACGAGGGACUGCCAGUGAUAUACUGGAGGAAGGUGGGGAUGACGUCAAGUCCGCAUGGCCCUUAUGGGCUGGGCCACACACGUGCUACAAUGGCAAUUACAAUGGGAAGCAAGGCUGUAAGGCGGAGCGAAUCCGGAAAGAUUGCCUCAGUUCGGAUUGUUCUCUGCAACUCGGGAACAUGAAGUUGGAAUCGCUAGUAAUCGCGGAUCAGCAUGCCGCGGUGAAUAUGUACCC